CCGCGCCUCCUCUCCAGCGGCCGCCGAAACUUUCUCAGCCAUUGCAGCGGCAGCCGCCCCACCAAGUGCCGACGAGGGACAAGCGCCGCCUGGGCGGGUCGGGGAAGAAAGUCAGCCGCCCGCUUCUACCGGCGCUAUCAGCAACGGCAGCAUCCUCUGCCGGGAAGAGAAGGAGCAGCCGCGCCACGCUGCGCCGGGGCACCGCCUAGCAGCCGCGGUAGCAGCAGCAGCAGCAUGCCUGUCCCGCCGCAGAAGCGCCGCCUGCUUGAGAGCUCUCGGUAGGCUGCGGGCGCCCCGGGGGCUCCAGGAGAGAGCAGCGCCUUCCUCCGCUGGUCGCCGAGACGGCUACUGUACUGCCUUCCGCGAACCUGCCUGCGGGCCAUGGGCGGGGAAGACGAGCAGCCUACGGAGCCAAUGGCAAAGGCGGCGGUGGGUGGGCCCUGCCGAGGGAUGAUGCCUAAGCACAGAGUCGAGCCCAAUCUGAGUGAGCAGCAGGUAACAGGGAGGCGGAGGAGGAACAGAAAGAAGGGCUGCCACAGUCCCCGGCACGCUUACUGAGGACUCGGAGCAUGCACGCCCCGUUACACACGGUGGUGGGACUGACCUCUGAGUAAUGCUGGGCUGCAGUUCUGUGCAGGAUUCGAAUUCAGUUCAGAGCGACUGGUUACAUUUUCCUUUCUUACGCGCUGCCUUUUUACGAAAAGGUAUCCAAGCCUCCUCUUUAAUGUCAGUCCACUCCAUAAACAUGAACUAACAACACCGAACCAGUAGGAGGUGUCCUCAGUCUCACCACCACCACUUUACAUAGGAAAAGGAUAGACUGAACUUGGAAUAUGGCUCCUGCUCAAAGAAAAGGUCAAAGAAAUAAAGCUGAGAUAAGCUCUGCAAGAUAAGAAGAAAGUGCCAGCAGGAAGCAAUGCUAUAGGAAUGUGAAAUUCUAAAUGUCUUCCAGAGACAUUGCUUUAACAUGUAAAUACAGUAUUUUCUCUGAAAGCCAAAGAGUUUAUGAAGAUUAGAAAACAGUGGGGCGGAGAAGGCUACACCUGAACAGAAUGGAACAGCUCCGUACCACACUUCCUUGGAUAAGACAGAUAAGAAGAUAGCAGCAAAGUGUUCAGGCAACUGUGUCUAAAGCUCACUCCAGAUCUUAUCAUGCCAACCAGCAGUCUGGCUCAGUUUGAGUUAGUAUGUAGCAGGGUUAAUCAGGUAACUACAAAAUAAAAUAAGCUAAGAAAAGGGAAGAAUACAUUUUUAUUUCCACAGAUACUCCAUGUGAUGCCUUCUCAAAGAAUUACACCACAUUAUAUCCCUAAGAGUUGCAUAUAUUCAUUGGGCUGAUAAAUAUAUUACUGCACAGUGUUUUGUACAGAAAAUGUAUGUUCUAAAUCUUUGUAUGGAAGACAGUUAAAUGGGCAUGCUGUCUUAUUCAGUCUUCUUAAAUGAAAUUUUUCUGAAAAAAGCAAUUAAGGGUAUAGAUAGAAUGCAUUUA